GAUGAACGCUGGCGGCGUGCCUAAUACAUGCCAGUAGAACGCUGAAGGAGGAGCUUGCUCUUCUGGAUGAGUUGCGAGCGGGUGAGUAACGCGUAGGUAACCUGCCUGGUAGCGGGGGAUAACUAUUGGAAACGAUAGCUAAUACCGCAUGACAACUGUUAUUGCAUGAUAACUGUUUAAAAGGGGCAACUGCUCCACUACCAGAUGGACCUGCGUUGUAUUAGCUAGUUGGUGAGGUAACGGCUCACCAAGGCGACGAUACAUAGCCGACCUGAGAGGGUGAUCGGCCACACUGGGACUGAGACACGGCCCAGACUCCUACGGGAGGCAGCAGUAGGGAAUCUUCGGCAAUGGACGGAAGUCUGACCGAGCAACGCCGCGUGAGUGAAGAAGGUUUUCGGAUCGUAAAGCUCUGUUGUAAGAGAAGAACGAGUGUGAGAGUGGAAAGUUCACACUGUGACGGUAUCUUACCAGAAAGGGACGGCUAACUACGUG
rnacentral:rRNA from 1 species